rnacentral:sRNA from 1 species
GCUGAAGCGGGGUAAUUCCCUCCUGCAAUUACUUUUGGAUGGAAGUAUGCCCCUUUCUCAGUAGAAGAUGGUAAUCUUGGAGAAUGACCAUGGAGAAGGGGAUGAGUUCUGGAGAAGGGCUGCCUUCCAGAUCAUCUCAGGUUUCGGCUGGUAAAAUAACAGCCAAAGAGUUGGAAACAAAGCAGUCCUAUAAAGAGAAACGGGGAGGCUUUGUGCUGGUGCAUGCAGGUGCAGGUUAUCAUUCUGAAUCCAAAGCCAAGGAGUAUAAACAUGUAUGCAAACGAGCUUGUCAGAAGGCAAUUGAAAAGCUGCAGGCCGGUGCUCUUGCAACUGACGCAGUCACUGCAGCACUGGUGGAACUUGAGGUGUACACACACAGUUACACUUCAUGGAGUUGCAUCCAGCCAAGUAUCCAUGUUCUUCUUGUGAAGAGGCAGAGAAAAUCACCUCUCCCAAGAAUUUCCACCUUCUGAACAAGGGAAAUGUGUCCUGAAGAGCUGUACGCAGAUGGGAGGCAACUUGUUUGCUUGUUCUGCUGCUAGAGCAUUGAUUUAAUUAGAAGACAGGCUGUGGGUGGCCAUGUGCAGACAAAGAAGCACCAGACAGAGCCCAUUUAGCCUGGGACAGUAAAAUGUUUAUAGUUUUGACCCCUACAUGUAGGUGUAUGGUCCUUUUCAAAAACAAUUUUUCCUGAAUUCUAGUGUGAGGAUUCUCCUUUUACAAACGCAGGAAUGGGAUCUAAUCUAAAUCUGUUAGGUGAAAUUGAGUGUGAUGCCAGCAUAAUGGACGGAAAAUCCUUAAAUUUUGGAGCAGUUGGAGCGCUGAGUG